rnacentral:rRNA from 1 species
CCUACGGGUGGCAGCAGUGAGGAAUAUUGGUCAAUGGCCGUAAGGCUGAACCAGCCAAGUCGCGUGAAGGAUGAAGGAUCUAUGGUUUGUAAACUUCUUUUAUAGGGGAAUAAAGUUAUCCACGUGUGGCUAUUUGCAUGUACCCUAUGAAUAAGCAUCGGCUAACUCCGUGCCAGCAGCCGCGGUAAUACGGAGGAUGCGAGCGUUAUCCGGAUUUAUUGGGUUUAAAUGGAGCGUAGGUGGUUUUUUAAGUCAGCUGUGAAAGUUUGUGGCUCAACCGUAAAAUUGCAGUUGAGACUGGCAGUCUUGAGUGUGUUUGAGGUAGGCGGAAUGCGUGGUGUAGCGGUGAAAUGCAUAGAUAUCACGAAGAACUCCGAUUGCGAAGGCAGCUUACUAAGCUACUUCUGACGUUGAGGCACGAAAGUGUGGGGAGCAAACAGGAUUAGAUACCCGAGUAGUC